rnacentral:rRNA from 1 species
GACGAACGCUGGCGGCGUGCUUAACACAUGCAAGUCGAACGGAAAGGCCCCUUUGGGGGUACACGCGAGGCGAACGGGGGUGUAACACGUGAGUAACCUGCCCUCUGUUUCUUGGUAACUUCCUGAAACACGGGCUAAUAUCCGAUAGAUAUCCUUGCUGCGGGGUGGGUGUUGGAAAGCUUCUGCGGUUUGGGAUGGACUCGCGGCUUAUCAGCUUGUUGGUGGGGUAGUGGCUUACCAAGGCUUUGACGGGUAGCCGGCCUGAGAGGGGGACCGGCCACAUUGGGACUGGGUUACGGCCCGGCCUCCUACGGGGGGAAGAGGUGGGGAUUAUUGAACAAUGGGCGGAGGCCUGAGGAAGCACCGCCGGGGGCGGGAGGACGGCCUUGGGGUUGUAACCCGUUUUCAGCAGGGGCGAAGCUUGUGGUGACGGUACCUGCAGAAGAAGCACCGGCUAACUACGUG